GUGAACUAGUAAAUUAAGUUUAUUUUACGAAUCAACAAAAGUGUUUACGUUCUUGUUUUCAAUUUACAUGCUGUUGGCACGAUUCCGAUUACUUUGGCGGUCGGGUAAAAACACGAAUUUCGGUAUAAAUGGGUUUGUAUAAGUUAACACAUUAGUAUGUUAGUCUGCCCACUGUAGCGUUCUUAGACCUACUCCACGCCAGCCAGUAAGCGCGGGAAUAGUCCGCGUCCGUAUUUUCCCAUCAACUGGCAAACAUCAGCGCGGUGUCAGCGAUUCACCUGUUGUCUAAACAACAACAACAACAGCAUCAGGUGCAGUAGCAGCAGUAAUGCCAAAAUUGUGCCAAGUGUAAGAAAGUCAGGCUGGGCUUCUAUUUUUUAGUUUCAGUUGUAAUCCAGACUUUAACAACAGCACAUAAUGCUGAAUAAAUAAUUUACACUAUAAAAGUUGUAAUUCGGAGUUUAACAACAGCACAUAUUGCUGAAUAAAUAAUUCAUAUUAUAAAAGUUUAA